rnacentral:rRNA from 1 species
GAUGAACGCUGGCGGCGUGCCUAAUACAUGCAAGUCGAGCGAACGGACGAGAAGCUUGCUUCUCUGAUGUUAGCGGCGGACGGGUGAGUAACACGUGGAUACCCUACCUAUAAGACUGGGAUAACUUCGGGAAACCGGAGCUAAUACCGUAUAAUAUUUUGAACCGCAUGGUUCAAUAGUGAAAUACGGUCUUGCUGUCACUUAUCGCUGGAUCCGCGCUGCAUUAGCUAGUUGGUAAGGUCACGGCUUACCAAGGCAACGAUGCCUAGACGACGUCAGGGGGUGGUCGGCCACAUUGGAACGGAGCCACGGUCAAGACUCCUGCGGGAGGGAGCAGUAGGGAAUCUUCCGCAAUGGGCGGAAGCCUGACGGAGCAACGCGGCGUGAGUGAUGACGGUCUUCGGAUCGUAAAACUGUGUUAUUAGGGAAGAACAUAUGUGUAAGUAACUGUGCACAUCUUGACGGUACCUAAUCAGAAAGCCACGGCUAACUACGUG